GAGGUAUGUUCUCUUUAUCAUUGUAUUCAUAAAGUUACAGUCCUCCUGUUGAAAGCCAUACUUUUAUUGCUAAGCAAUGUGAAAAUUUCAUUUUGAAGGAUGUUUUAGAAGACAAAUUUGCACAAAGAUUUUGCUUAUAAAGCAAUUUGAUGUAACAGUAUUUGAAAGUUCUUUAGAGAAAAAAAUGCCAGUGCUUUGAUCACACUGAUGAUUUAAUGUUUACUGUCUCCUAUUCUGCUUUUCUAAUGCUAAAACUGAUGAGAAAAUAAAUGUAGUUUAGUUUAACUCAUAACAACCAAUUCCGUUUUAAGAGUAUUUGCAGAUUGCUACCCUCAGCAUCACUGUACAAAGCACAGAAGAGAAAGUCUUUCCAUUGACAUAAAAAAGAAUUUCCCUUAGCUGAAAGAAAGAAGGCACGGUGUCUGGGCUGCAGCCCAUGCAGAGCUCAUACAAGAGCAGAGCAAAAGCAUGAAGAUGAAGGAGUGUCAGAGCACGACUGUUAUGGACUGGCCACCACCCUCUACCCCAUCACCCCUUUGCUGCUGGAAGUUGUGGGGUUCAGGAUUUGGGAAGGGGUGAAGUUGAAACUGGGAAAAAGGGGUGGUAAGGAAAGUGUUAUUUUAAUUUUGUCUCUGUUUCUCACUACCCAAAUCUAUUUCAGUUGGUAAUAAAUUAUAAUAUUUUUCCCCAAGUUACAUGUUUUGCCUGUGAUGGUAAGUGGUAAGAAAUUUCCUUGUCUUCAUCUUGACCCAUGAGCUUUUUCAUCCUGUUUCUUUCCCCUGUCCUUUGAAGGUGGGGAGUGAGUGAGAAGCUGGGUAGACAUUCUUCUCUUAGCCAAGAAUGACUCACCACAAAGAAGAUAUGACUUUCUCUUUGCAUAUGAUAUUAUAGUUAAAGGAAGUAAAAGGAAGCUAUCUGUCUGAUGCGUCAGUUAAGGUUCAUAUUAUAUUCUGGAAGUAGGAGACGCAGAAUCUGAGUUAAGGUUUUAGUGUGUUCAAAAUUCUUCAAGCUGAAAGAAUUAUACUGAUUGUGACAAAACAGAAAAUUACUUCUAUUGUGGUGUCAAAAGAUGAGAUACUGAGUAGGAAGUUGUUGGUAACAAGAAAGGAAGAGAAGAUACAACCGUGAAAAUCACAAAGUAUAAAACUACCUGAAUUUAACAAAACAAAACAAAACAAAACAAAAACACAAAACCAAACCAACCAACCAACCAAAAAAAUGACGAAUAUUAUGUCAUGCUGUAAAUGAGCUGUUUGCAUAAAAAAACCUGCACAAAUUCAUUUGUAUCACGGAAUAUAUCACAGCAUGAGCUGCAGUUAUGACUAGUCUUGGCUGACCUCUAAACUAUAGAUAGUAGCUUAUUUUUGUCAGUCUAUCACAGAAGGUUCGUUUCAAAUUGUUUCCUCAUCCUUCACAAUGUCUUUUUCCUCCAUCGAUUUGAGAUCAA
rnacentral:lncRNA from 1 species